rnacentral:rRNA from 1 species
AUAUCAAUAAGCGGAGGAAAAGAAACUAACAAGGAUUCCCCUAGUAACUGCGAGUGAAGCGGGAAAAGCUCAAAUUUGGAAUCUGGUGGUCUUUGGCCCAUCCGAGUUGUAAUUUAGAGAAGCGUCUUCCGCGCUGGACCGUGCACAAGUCUCCUGGAAUGGAGCGUCAUAGAGGGUGAGAAUCCCGUCUUUGGCAUGGAAUCCCAGGGCUUCUGUGAUGCGCUCUCGACGAGUCGAGUUGUUUGGGAAUGCAGCUCAAAAUGGGUGGUAAAUUCCAUCUAAAGCUAAAUAUUGGGGAGAGACCGAUAGCGAACAAGUACCGUGAGGGAAAGAUGAAAAGAACUUUGGAAAGAGAGUUAAACAGUACGUGAAAUUGCUGAAAGGGAAACGCUUGAAGUCAGUCGCGUCGUUCAGGACUCAGCCUUGCUUUGCUUGGUGUACUUUCUGUUCGACGGGUCAGCAUCAAUUUUGGUCGGUGGAUAAAGGCUCAGAGAAUGUGGCAUCUUCGGGUGUGUUAUAGCUCUGGGUCGCAUACAUCGGCUGGGAUUGAGGAACUCAGCACGCCGCAAGGCCGGGUACUUGUACCACGUACGUGCUUAGGAUGCUGGCAUAAUGGCUUUAAUCGA